rfam:Cochliobolus heterostrophus C5 unplaced genomic scaffold COCHEscaffold_8, whole genome shotgun sequence.
CAGAGUGAUGAAAACACGACACGGAAAGGCAUUCCUCGACCUGAAUAUACAAUGUCGACACACUUGCUUUUAGUUUCAGCCUUGUCUGACA